rnacentral:rRNA from 1 species
UACGUAGGGUGCAAGCGUUGUCCGGAAUUAUUGGGCGUAAAGAGCUCGUAGGCGGUCUGUCGCGUCGGCUGUGAAAACCCGGGGCUCAACCCCGGGCCUGCAGUCGAUACGGGCAGACUAGAGUGCGGUAGGGGAGACUGGAAUUCCUGGUGUAGCGGUGAAAUGCGCAGAUAUCAGGAGGAACACCGAUGGCGAAGGCAGCUCGCUGGGACGGUACUGACGCUGAGGCGCGAAAGCGUGGGAGCAAACAGGAUAGAA